rnacentral:lncRNA from 1 species
GCAACAACCCUCCAUUGGUCUACUAAUUUGAGCAUUUAGUUACACAACUAAACUCAACAUUUGAUUACAAUUUCUCUACAUAAUCUCCUCUUGGAAAUGCAGAAACAACUAGGUAACACCUACAAAUUUUCUCUUGGGCGUCUGCUCCUGCUUCCCUUGUCAAUACAUCAGAUUUUCUUCUCUUUCAACAUCUGUCGAACAUGUGGUGUGCAUAUAUAGGAUUGAUGAGUUGUGCAAUACUCUACAUUGAGAAAGACCCUGAUAUAUAAGAUAAUUGAGAAAGACCCUGAUAUAUCAGAUAACCAAAAACAGGUGGUAAUGGAAAUUUCCAAUGUCUAUUCCCUCCAGAUCUAAAAAAAAAAUUGUCUAUUCGCUCAUGGACUCCGUCAUCGCCGGACGCACCUCCAAUUGGAUCGGCUGUCACUGCACCACUGUAUUCGUCGAGGCAUCUUCUUUGUCGGAGCACUGCUUAUGGGCUGCACCAUCACCUAUACACCGCUUCAUCGGCGGCGUCGGCGACGCGCUCCUGAUGGCGCCUGGAAUGGGUGUGGGGGUUGCACAGGGAUGGGAAUUUGGUGAUGGCGGCGGAACCCUUG